UGGGGAAUAUUGGACAAUGGGCGAAAGCCUGAUCCAGCCAUGCCGCGUGUGUGAAGAAGGUCUUCGGAUUGUAAAGCACUUUAAGUUGGGAGGAAGAGCAGUUACCUAAUACGUGAUUGUUUUGACGUUACCGACAGAAUAAGCACCGGCUAACUCUGUGCCAGCAGCCGCGGUAAUACAGAGGGUGCAAGCGUUAAUCGGAAUUACUGGGCGUAAAGCGCGCGUAGGUGGUUAGUUAAGUUGGAUGUGAAAUUCCCCGGGCUCAACCUGGGAACUGCAUUCAAAACUGACUGGCUAGAGUAUGGUAGAGGGUGGUGGAAUUUCCUGUGUAGCGGUGAAAUGCGUAGAUAUAGGAAGGAACACCAGUGGCGAAGGCGACCACCUGGACUGAUACUGACACUGAGGUGCGAAAGCGUGGGGAGCAAACAGGAUUAGAUACCCACGUAGUCCCCUGAGCGGG
rnacentral:rRNA from 1 species